ensembl:lncRNA
UUUGACUUUGAAAAUAGGAUCUAGAUAUUCAGCACAGCAAGCAUUGGAUUUGAUCUCGUUCCCCACUCCGGACUAAUUAUGAAAACAGAGUGUGUAUGCAGGGAAAACAGAAGACAUCUACAAAGACCUACAAACGGUUACUGAGAGCUGGAUAACAUCUGGCUGGGGGACGGAUUGAAGAGGCCUGAUGACCCAAAUCUAUGCUAAAGAGAACUACCAAACCUAAGCUAAAGAGAACUACCCAACCUAUGCUAAAGACAAGAACACUGCUGCCACAUUGUACUACAGAAAUUCAGUCAGAGAAUAGACAGAAUGUCUUAAAUAACUUACAAAAAAUACUAAGAUGUUGUGG